UUAUAUUUAAUGUAGGGAUUUGCAUGUUAAAUUUUGAUUUUAAUAGUAUUAGUAAAAUUAAUAAUAUAAA
rnacentral:tRNA from 1 species